UUUGGUUUGUCACGUGUGGUUGGCUGCGGCGUUUGCAACAACUUCCAUGCUUUCAGACCUCUUCAGUUGUGCGGCAAGGCUUGUAUCGCCUUGUCGUAUUGUGGGUUUUCUGUGUUGAAUACCUAAUCAAUGGUAUCGGUUGGAUUGAUCAAUGUUUCAUUUCGUCUCUCGUUGCAAUCGCGGCGUGAGACGAACCUUGAUGCGGUCUCUUUGGUCCACCUCGUCGAAGCACAUGCUUUGACGUUGUGGCACAUUGAGCAUUGCUUGGUCUCUUGUAUACGGAACAUACAGUGGGCAUGGAUCUAACGAUUCUUCUUUGCCCUCAUGUUAGCGUAACGCUUCUCUUACACGACUUGCUCCACGUUUUAG
rnacentral:misc_RNA from 1 species